CGCACUCCACUUUUUCACUUUGUACUUGCUCAGUUUCAACUACUCCCACAUGCAGCUCCUUUCUUCUCUUCAGAAACUCCAACCCGUGUAGAACAACUAGGGCUUCGGCUUGAACAGAGGAUGAAGCUCGAACUUCUCGCACGAAGCCAUCAAUGACUUGUCUAGCUUGAUCUCGCAGGAUUCUAGCUACCAAUCCGGCGUAUUCUCCUUGCACCCAUGAGCAAUCAACGUUUAAUUUCAUUGCUCCUCUCCCCGACGGUGUCCAUUUUCUCGAUGAGUUCAAAUCUGUGGGUUUCUUUGCCCCUUUUUUUCUUUUGCCAUAUGCUGAAGUUUUGUAGUUGUGCUUGCGCUAGAUCAACGAUGGAGCUCGGACUCGGUGGCUUAGCUCGAAAUAUGAAGUUGUUUCGAGUUUUCCAUACAACCCAGAGCACCAUCCCAACCAGCUCGUUCUCGGGGUUCCUUCUUGUAGUCGCUGCUUUUUGCUUGCUCGGAAUAGAAUCUAGAUACCGAUGUAGGAUGCUUCCUGUGGGGGCUUUCAUACAGGAGUAGUGUGGUGGUUGUGAGUUCUUUUGUCUUUGGAGAUUGUGGGUAUAAGCGUGAGGUUAGAUUGAAGGGAGCUCUAUGUAAAUGGGUAUGGGAUUUCUGAAAAUGACUAAGCGAUCAAGUGUGAGGAGAUCCUUGAAGAAGAAGUUGCGGAGGAAAGGGUAGAAGAUCAAGCUAAGAUGAUACAUUUAUGGAUUAUGGGUUUCUUUGGUGGAAACUCAAGGAAAGAAAAUAUUAGGGUUCGUGAAAACAACUUACCAAAUCUAGGAUGCCCUUGGAUCCAUAUGGAAGGGACAACAAAACCAGAAUCAUGGUGGUUUUAGGGUUGUAUUUGUACUAUUGGCCAUUGAAGGGAUAGGGAGAAGCUCUGCUCUAAGGAGAGAAAAGAGCUCUUCCGAGAAAAGAGGAAAAGGACUGCAAUCAAGCUAUUGAGCACCUCGAUUUCUAGGAACUUCAUCUACUUGGUCCGUGAGUAUUGCAGCAUGAAGGCUGAGAAAUCUUUCAUGCCUGCCACUAAUGCAACUUACAAUCUAAUUGAAAGCUUCCCAUUGAACAUGUUGAACUUCUGUGCUUUUCCGAGAAGUUUGUGGUUCUACUUCAUAUUCAAUUUAUCUCCUGACAUAGAUAACAAUCUUGAUAUAUACGUAUAUUUGAUUUA